rnacentral:rRNA from 1 species
AGUAAUGUAUGGGGAUCUGCCUGAUGGCGGGGGAUAACUACUGGAAACGGUAGCUAAUACCGCAUAAUGUCUGCGGACCAAAGCGGGGGACCUCCGGGCCUCGCGCCAUCAGAUGAACCCAUAUGGGAUUAGCUUGUAGGUAAGGUAACGGCUUACCUAGGCGACGAUCCCUAGCUGGUCUGAGAGGAUGAUCAGCCGCACUGGGACUGAGACACGGCCCAG